GCUUAACCUGGGAACUGCAUUUGAAACUGGCAGGCUAGAGUCUCGUAGAGGGGGGUAGAAUUCCAGGUGUAGCGGUGAAAUGCGUAGAGAUCUGGAGGAAUACCGGUGGCGAAGGCGGCCCCCUGGACGAAGACUGACGCUCAGGUACGAAAGCGUGGGGAGCAAACAGGAUUAGAUACCCUGGUAGUCCACGCUGUAAACGAUGUCGAUUUGAAGGUUGUGGUCUUGAGCCGUGGCUUUCGGAGCUAACGCGUUAAAUCGACCGCCUGGGGAGUACGGCCGCAAGGUUAAAACUCAAAUGAAUUGACGGGGGCCCGCACAAGCGGUGGAGCAUGUGGUUUAAUUCGAUGCAACGCGAAGAACCUUACCUACUCUUGACAUCCAGAGAACUGAGCAGAGAUGCUUGGGUGCCUUCGGGAACUGUGAGACAGGUGCUGCAUGGCUGUCGUCAGCUCGUGUUGUGAAAUGUUGGGUUAAGUCCCGCAACGAGCGCAACCCUUAUCCUUUGUUGCCAGCGAUUCGGUCGGGAACUCAAAGGAGACUGCCGGUGAUAAACCGGAGGAAGGUGGGGAUGACGUCAAGUCAUCAUGGCCCUUACGAGUAGGGCUACACACGUGCUACAAUGGCGCAUACAAAGAGAAGCGAUCUCGCGAGAGUCAGCGGACCUCAUAAAGUGCGUCGUAGUCCGGAUUGGAGUCUGCAACUCGACUCCAUGAAGUCGGAAUCGCUAGUAAUCGUGGAUCAGAAUGCCACGGUGAAUACGUUCUCGGGCCUUGUACACACCGCCCGUCACACCAUGGGAGUGGGUUGCAAAAGAAGUAGGUAGCUUAACCUUAGGGAGGGCGUUUACCACUUUGUGAUUCAUGACUGGGGUGAAGUCGUAACAAGGUAACC
rnacentral:rRNA from 1 species